UACGGGGGGAGCAAGCGUUGUUCGGAUUUACUGGGCGUAAAGGGCGCGUAGGCGGCCAGCACAAGUCAGUUGUGAAAUCUCCGAGCUUAACUCGGAAAGGUCAACUGAUACUGUGCGACUAGAGUGCGGAAGGGGCAACUGGAAUUCUCGGUGUAGCGGUGAAAUGCGUAGAUAUGCGGAGGAACACCGAUGGCGAAGGCAGGUCUCUGGGCCACUACUGACGCUGAGAAGCGAAAGCAUGGGGAGCGAACAGG
rnacentral:rRNA from 1 species